rnacentral:rRNA from 1 species
UACGUAGGGGGCAAGCGUUAUCCGGAUUUACUGGGUGUAAAGGGGGCGCAGACGGCAGCGCAAGCCAGGAGUGAAAGCCCGGGGCUCAACCGCGGAACCGCUUUGGAAACUGCGAGGCUGGAGUGCUGGAGAGGUAAGCGGAAUUCCUGGUGUAGCGGUGAAAUGCGUAGAUAUCAGGAGGAACACCGGUGGCGAAGGCGGCUUACUGGACAGUGACUGACGUUGAGGCUCGAAAGCGUGGGGAGCGAACAGG